AUCGCUUCUCGGCCUUAUGGCUAAGAUCAAAGUGUAGUAUCUGUUCUUAUCAGCUUAACACCUGAUAGAUCCCCCAUAGGGGGACGACAAAUGUUAAACUGAUUUUUGGGAAAUGGCGGAGUGCUAGGGGCUUGCUCCACCUCUGCCGCGGGUUGGCCCGGUAUUGCAGUACCGCCGGGAUCGGCCCAGAUUCA
rnacentral:snRNA from 1 species